rnacentral:rRNA from 1 species
UACGUAGGGUGCAAGCGUUAAUCGGAAUUACUGGGCGUAAAGCGUGCGCAGGCGGUUUUGUAAGUCUGACGUGAAAGCCCCGGGCUCAACCUGGGAAUUGCGUUGGAGACUGCAAGGCUUGAAUCUGGCAGAGGGGGGUAGAAUUCCACGUGUAGCAGUGAAAUGCGUAGAGAUGUGGAGGAACACCGAUGGCGAAGGCAGCCCCCUGGGUCAAGAUUGACGAUCACGCACGAAAGCGUGGGGAGCAAACAGG